rnacentral:sRNA from 1 species
AUGAAAACACCAUCAACUGAAGCCAUUCCUUUAUCUACAAAACAGGACCUGGCAGGGCAGGUUCCCCAACGCUGACCUGGCAUGUCCUUCAACACUGCUUGGGACAUUUGCGUGACAGAUGGGAAGGUGGUUCAGUCCAUGCCGGGUAAGUCUUUGACCGUG